CCAGGGGUUGUGUCGUUCCACACCUACGUGCAUUUUCCUCUCCGGCUUGCUUCUGCAGCUUAAGUUGUCUAUUUUGCUCUAGAAUGCUCGAUAAUCUCCAAAUGCAUCCCAAACAUGUAAAGACCUGAAAAAGACUAGAAAAGACUCUAGAAAUAACAAAUAGACUCUAAAACCUAUACCUAAAACAUAGCUAAAACGGUAAAAAUAGGGAUAUAUCAACUCCCCCAGACUUAGCCUUUGCUUGCCCUCAAG
rnacentral:sRNA from 1 species